rnacentral:miRNA from 1 species
ACCCUCAUCGGCCGGAAGGGAUUCCUUCCGGUCGAUGAGGUAUAACAACCUCAUCGACGGAAGGAAUCCCUUCCGUCGAUGAGGGUGUUUUACCUCAUCGACCGGAAGGAAUCCCUUCCGGUCGAUAAGACU